rnacentral:rRNA from 1 species
UACGUAGGGUGCAAGCGUUGUCCGGAAUUAUUGGGCGUAAAGAGCUCGUAGGCGGUCUGUCACGUCGGCUGUGAAAACCGGAGGCUCAACCUCCGGCCUGCAGUCGAUACGGGCAGACUAGAGUUCGGUAGGGGAGACUGGAAUUCCUGGUGUAGCGGUGAAAUGCGCAGAUAUCAGGAGGAACACCGGUGGCGAAGGCGGGUCUCUGGGCCGAAACUGACGCUGAGGAGCGAAAGCAUGGGGAGCAAACAGG